ACCUGCUGACCUUUCAUCGUCACUUGCAGGGACUACAAUGACCACAAGAGCGUCAAAGAGCAGUCUGGGUCAACCUCUUCUCUCAACUCCUUAACCAGCUAUGAUCCCAAUACUAACAGUUCCAAGUCCUGGAACAAGUCGCGGCCGGUGUCAUGGUCGGCACAGGACCUGCGAGCGGCCGUCGACGAGGCUAAGGAACAGAUCCGCUCAUCAAGAGAAGACUUGCACCGCCUAUAUGGAAGCUCCAGAUCGUUGUC